UACGGAGGGGGCUAGCGUUGUUCGGAAUUACUGGGCGUAAAGCGUACGUAGGCGGCUUUGUAAGUUAGAGGUGAAAGCCCGGGGCUCAACCCCGGAAUUGCCUUUAAGACUGCAUCGCUUGAAUCGCGGAGAGGUGAGUGGAAUUCCGAGUGUAGAGGUGAAAUUCGUAGAUAUUCGGAAGAACACCAGUGGCGAAGGCGGCUCACUGGACGCGUAUUGACGCUGAGGUACGAAAGCGUGGGUAGCAAACAGG
rnacentral:rRNA from 1 species